rnacentral:rRNA from 1 species
AUUGAACGCUGGCGUCAUGCUUUACACAUGCAAGUCGAACGGUAACAGGCCGCAAGGUGCUGACGAGUGGCGAACGGGUGAGUAAUGCAUCGGAACGUGCCCAGUCGUGGGGGAUAACGCAGCGAAAGCUGCGCUAAUACCGCAUACGAUCUAUGGAUGAAAGCGGGGGACCGUAAGGCCUCGCGCGAUUGGAGCGGCCGAUGUCAGAUUAGGUAGUUGGUGGGGUAAAGGCUCACCAAGCCAACGAUCUGUAGCUGGUCUGAGAGGACGACCAGCCACACUGGGACUGAGACACGGCCCAGACUCCUACGGGAGGCAGCAGUGGGGAAUUUUGGACAAUGGGCGCAAGCCUGAUCCAGCAAUGCCGCGUGCAGGAAGAAGGCCUUCGGGUUGUAAACUGCUUUUGUACGGAACGAAACGGUCCUGGUUAAUACCUGGGGCUAAUGACGGUACCGUAAGAAUAAGCACCGGCUAACUACGUGCCAGCCGCCGCAGUAACAC